rnacentral:rRNA from 1 species
CACCGUAUGAGAAAUCAAAUGAGAAUACCGGCUGAACUUAAGCAUAUCACUAAGCCGAGGAAAAGAAACUAACAAGGAUACCCUAAGUAACGGCGAGUGAACCGGGUAAUGCUCAAUCUUAAAAUCUGUGUCUCAAAUGAGGCAUCGAAUUGUAGUUUUUUGAUAAUCAUUCCCUCUUCUUUUAAUAUAAUUAAAGUCUCUUGGAAUAGAGUGUCAUAGAAGGUGAGAACCCUGUGAAUAGUUAUAUUAAGGGGAGGAUAUUGAGUUUGAUUAUCAUAGAGUCGGGUUGUUUGGGAAUGCAGCCUAAAAAGGGUGGUAAAUCUCAUCUAAAAGCUAAAUAUUUGGUAAGAGACCGAUAGAAAACAAGUACCGUGAGGGAAAGAUGAAAAGAACUUUGAAAAGAGAGUUAAAAGUACUU